rnacentral:rRNA from 1 species
GUGUCAGCAGCCGCGGUAAUACGAACCGUCCAAACGUUAUUCGGAUUCAUUGGGCUUAAAGGGUACGUAGGCGGCGCCGUCAGUCGGGUGUGAAAGCCCUCGGCUCAACCGAGGAACUGCGCCCGAUACUGCGGUGCUUGAGGGAGACAGAGGUAAGCGGAACUGAUGGUGGAGCGGUGAAAUGCGUUGAUAUCAUCAGGAACACCGGUGGCGAAAGCGGCUUACUGGGUCUCUUCUGACGCUGAGGUACGAAAGCUAGGGGAGCGAACGGGAUUAGAUACCCCGGUAGUCC